AAAACAAAUCAAUUGAUGGGAAGGUGGGGUGAUCGCCUUCGUCCAAUACUCCACUGCGUGCGACCCGGCAUAUUAUGUAAUGCUGCAAGAAAACUAGGUCGUUCAGUGCGAAUUACUGAAUAUCGUUAUUGAUCGAUAAAAAUCUAUCGAAACGUGUGUCCGUUCAGAUUAGUUGUUUUCGUCACCGACGGUUUUCUUUCGUCGCGUACAGAUAUAAA